rnacentral:rRNA from 1 species
CGUAGGGUGCUAGCGUUGUUCGGAAUCAUUGGGCGUAAAGCGAGUGCAGGCUGUUAAAUAAGUCGGAUGUGAAAUCCCUGGGCUCAACCGAGGAAGUGCAUUCGAAACUAUUUAGCUAGAAGAUGGUAGAGGAAGGUGGAAUUCCAAGUGUAGAGGUGAAAUUCGUAGAUAUUUGGAGGAAUACCGGUGGCGAAGGCGGCCUUCUGGACCAUUCUUGACGCUGAGACUCGAAAGCGUGGGUAGCAAACAGGAUUAGAUACCCUGGUAGUCCACGCCCUAAACGAUGGGUACUAGGUGUUGCAGGAAUUGACCCCUGCAGUGCCGUAGCUAACGCAUUAAGUACCCCGCCUGGGAAGUACGGCCGCAAGGUUA